rnacentral:rRNA from 1 species
UACGUAGGGUGCGAGCGUUAAUCGGAAUGACUGGGCGUAAAGGGCGCGUAGGCGGAUUGCUUUGUCAGACGUGAAAUUCCAGGGCUCAACCUUGGGGCUGCGUUUGAGACGGGUGAUCUUGAGUUCGGAAGAGGGUCGUGGAAUUCCCAGUGUAGAGGUGAAAUUCGUAGAUAUUGGGAAGAACACCGGUGGCGAAGGCGGCGACCUGGUCCGAGACGUGACGCUGAGGCGCGAAAGCGUGGGGAGCAAACAGG